rnacentral:lncRNA from 1 species
AUGACCCUGAGCCCCUCGAAGCUUUCUUUAGCCGCCAGCGCCACAACCGCCAGGUAGUCGGAGCGGGAUAGGGCGGCGAGUUGGCAGGGGCUUGUGGACUGGGGGGUUUCGGGGGAAAGGGGGGGGAAAAGGGGUCUUGAGGGGGCGGGGUGUGUUUUAUGCAAAGUCAAGGACAUUAACUGCCGCGACGUACGAAGGGUGGAUGGGGGAAAUAGAAAUCAUGUGCAAUCCUGGUUUGUCGUACUGCCGUACGCCCGUACUACUGCUGUCGAGUGUGUGUUUCCUCCGGGCCGUCACCGCCGUUUUUGUUUUGCGGUUGAUACGUUUGAGACCCGCUGGCAGCAGCAGCUUACAAAAUAAGAAAUCUCCUGUUUGUAACCCUCUGUCGUACCUGUACGUUGACCGUGUACGGAUUGCCCUGCAGGGCCUCCUGCCCUAACCGCCCAAACGUCUGCGAGAGAGAGAGGAAGGGGGAAGGGGAGGGAAAGCGGAGUUCGAAAUCAUCCAACGGAAAAUCAGCCACGUGAUGAGAAACGGAAUCUCAACCGAAAUCAACCGCCACAGUCCAAAAACGGAAACGGUGGGGUUCCCCGAGUGCGCGUCGAGCCUCGAUAAAAGGGGGCGAUAUGGGCGGCUUGGACGGACUGAUACGAAGCCGGGAAAGUGGUGUGGGGAUGGAAGGGCCAAUAACGGCGAGGAAGAG